rnacentral:tRNA from 1 species
GCCCCGGUAGCUCAAUGGUAGAGCACUUGACUUGUAAUCAAGAGGUUUCGAGUUCAAGUCUCGACCGGGGCU